rnacentral:rRNA from 1 species
AUUGAACGCUGGCGGCAUGCCUUACACAUGCAAGUCGAACGGCAGCACGGUAGCUUGCUGCUGUUGGCGAGUGGCGAACGGGUGAGUAAUACAUCGGCAUCGGUCCUGACGUGGUGGUGAGCGCUGCGAAAGCCGGACUUAUACUGCUACCGCAUAACGCCUGCGGGUGGGAGCACUUGAUGUUCCGAGCUUUCGUGAUUGAAUAAGCCGAUGUCGGAUUAGCUAGUUGGCGGGGUAAAGGCCUACCAAGGCGACGAUCCGUAGCUGGUCUGAGAGGAUGAUCAGCCACACUGGGACUGAGACACGGUCCAGACUCCUACGGGAGGCAGCAGUGGGGAAUAUUGGACAAUGGGCGAAAGCCUGAUCCAGCAAUACCGCGUGUGUGAAGAAGGCCUUCGGGUUGUAAAGCCCUUUUGUCCGGAAAGAAAAGCUGGACCCUAAUACGGUCGGGGGCUGACGGUACCGGAAGAAUAAGCACCGGCUAACUACGUG